AGAGCGACCGGAUCCACACCGCGGGUCACCACCAGGUAAUCGCGCAUCACGAUGGAGUGGCGGUUCUC
rfam:Gordonia hirsuta DSM 44140 = NBRC 16056 DNA, contig: GOHST52.